AUAUUUUUGAUUUUGAUUAAAAGUGUAGGUUUUAUGAUUUAGAAAAUAAUAAGAAUUCGAGGUUUGAUUUCCAGUUUAAAGUUUAGGCAUUGGGAGCGAGAUGGAUGGCACGGGAGACCUUCCUAGCGAUUUCGGCGCAUCCCGUCACACCAAUUUGUAUUGGCUUAUCGAUGGCCAUUGGUGUGGCUGUCUAUGGUGAUAGAUGAGUGAGGCUGGCGAGAUAUAAGAGAACCAAAAAAAGAUAGGGAAUUUAAUGAAAAAAAACCUCAACUUUGGUCAGAUCCAUUUUUAAACCCUGAACUAUGUUUUUAGUAAAACAAACGCUGAACUAAAACCUGUUAAUAAACUUAACCCCACAGUAAUAAACUUAAACAUGUUAAUAAACUUAACAUUGAUAUAAUUAUGGUAAAAUAGAGAACAAUGAAUUAUGUUUCAUAAGAUCUUCCUUUUCAAAUUAUUUAAUUUAAUCUUUGCAUAUUUAGACUUGCAGCAACUGUCAACAAGUCGGACACAACAAACGUUCAUGCAAGCGUAAAGCAGUGCCAAAACCACCCAAGAAACCUCAAGGACGACCAAAGAAAAAACAGAAAACAAUGGAUGAAGAGAACCCUAUCACUCAACCAAUACAAUCUUCUCUUCAAAGUGAAUGCUUGACAAGUCUUUACUUUAAAAUAUCUUGUCCCUCUGAAACGAUUGUUUUUUUUUGUGACAAAUAUUGUUGUGUUGCAACAGCUUCGAUAGUUAUGUUGGUUGGAUUUAUUUAAGCAUGACUCUUUGGAUUAUUUUAAGUUGUUGUGUCUUUCUUUCAGCUUCUAAAAUCCAAACUAAUUAAGCAAUUCAAAAUCAUUUAGAACACUAAACGUUUUUUUUGUAAUAAAUUCAAAACAGUUUUAAAGAACAUCAUGUGGUUUUUGCGCUAAAUACAAAUGUCUCGUUGUUGUUUUUUUUGGAAAUUAAUAUCCCAUUAAUAUUUAAUACUGUGGGGUUAAGUUUAUUAACAGGUUUUAGUUCAGAGUUUGUUUUACUAAAAACAUAGUUUAGGGUUUAAAAAUGGAUCUGGCCAAAGUUGAGGUUUUUUUUCAUUAAAUUCCCAAAAAGAUAAAUAAGGUAGAAAAAAGAUUACUUCGAGUCGAAGACCAAAAUUUUGAA
rnacentral:sRNA from 1 species